AUGAACGCUGGCGGCGUGCCUAAUACAUGCAAGUCGAGCGCACGGACGAGAAGCUUGCUUCUCUGAUGUUAGCGGCGGACGGGUGAGUAACACGUGGAUAACCUACCUAUAAGACUGGGAUAACUUCGGGAAACCGGAGCUAAUACCGGAUAAUAUUUUGAACCGCAUGGUUCAAAAGUGAAAGACGGUCUUGCUGCCACUUAUAGAUGGAUCCGCGCUGCAUUAGCUAGUUGGUAAGGUAACGGCUUACCAAGGCAACGAUGCAUAGCCGACCUGAGAGGGUGAUCGGCCACACUGGAACUGAGACACGGUCCAGACUCCUACGGGAGGCAGCAGUAGGGAAUCUUCCGCAAUGGGCGAAAGCCUGACGGAGCAACGCCGCGUGAGUGAUGAAGGUCUUCGGAUCGUAAAACUCUGUUAUUAGGGAAGAACAUAUGUGUAAGUAACUGUGCACAUCUUGACGGUACCUAAUCAGAAAGCCACGGCUAACUACGUG
rnacentral:rRNA from 1 species